GUGCCUUAACCCGUUACCCUAUUUAUACCCAUUCGCGCUUCCAGCCCACCCUCGCUUGUUGCUUUCUUUUUCCUUGCUUCCACACUAUUCUUCAUCAUCAUCUUGUUUCCAAAUUCUUGAAGAAGGAAAAAACAUGGAGAGAGCGGAUUCGUCUGCGCUGGCUCGCUCUCGAUUAGCCGUCCUGUCAGCCCACUUGGAGGCUUGUCUCAAAUCCUCGUCAUUCGGCUCCGUGAUCCAGCCAUCUUGUGUUUCAGCUCAAUCUGGGAUCCAGCCUCCUGGAGAUCUCAAGGGUUCAUUGACCAUCGUUGACGAUCGAACAGCAAAGAAGUACCAAGUUCAGGUCUCUUCCCAUGGGACCGUCAAAGCUACAGAUUUGAAGAAGAUUACAACUGGAAAUAAUGACAAGGGGCUCAAACUUUAUGACCCGGGGUAUCUCAACACAGCUCCUGUUCGGUCAUCCAUUUGUUACAUCGAUGGUGAUGCGGGGAUUCUUAGAUAUAGAGGCUACCCAAUUGAAGAGUUGGCCGAGAGUAGUUCUUUUCUGGAAGUGGCGUACCUCUUAAUGUAUGGGAAUUUACCUUCUGAAAGUCAGUUAGCAGACUGGGAAUUUGCUGUUUCUCAACACUCAGCUGUUCCACAGGGAAUUUUGGAUAUUAUACAGGCUAUGCCUCAUGAUGCUCAUCCAAUGGGUGUACUUGUCAGUGCAAUGAGUGCUCUUUCUGUUUUUCAUCCAGAUGCCAAUCCUGCUCUUAGAGGGCAAGAUCUUUACCAGUCAAAACAAGUGAGAGAUAAACAAAUAGCACGCGUACUUGGGAAGGCACCCACAAUUGCAGCAGCAGCUUAUUUGAGGAUGGCAGGAAGACCUCCAGUUCUCCCUUCCAGCAGUUUUUCUUACUCAGAGAACUUCUUAUAUAUGCUAGAUUCAUUAAGCAAUAGGUCUUACAAGCCCAAUCCUCGACUAGCUCGAGUGCUAGACAUUCUUUUCAUUCUGCAUGCAGAACAUGAGAUGAAUUGCUCCACAGCUGCAGCCCGGCAUCUUUCUUCAAGUGGUGUUGAUGUAUACACUGCUCUUGCUGGAGCUGUUGGAGCAUUGUAUGGUCCUCUUCAUGGUGGUGCAAAUGAGGCUGUGCUGAAGAUGUUGAGUGAGAUUGGAACGAUCGAGAACAUCCCAGAGUUCAUUGAGGGUGUCAAAAACAGGAAGCGAAAGAUGUCUGGAUUUGGGCACCGCGUGUACAAAAAUUAUGAUCCCAGGGCAAAGGUCAUAAAGAAACUGGCAGAGGAAGUAUUUUCCAUUGUUGGUCGGGAUCCUCUCAUUGAGGUAGCUGUUGCUUUGGAGAAGGCUGCAUUGUCAGAUGAGUAUUUUAUUAAGAGGAAGCUAUAUCCAAAUGUUGAUUUCUACUCUGGGUUAAUCUAUAGGGCAAUGGGAUUCCCAACUGAGUUCUUCCCUGUUCUGUUUGCAAUUCCUCGAAUGGCUGGAUACUUGGCACACUGGAGAGAGUCUCUGGAUGAUCCUGAUACAAAGAUAAUGAGACCACAACAGGUGUAUACUGGGGAAUGGCUACGGCAUUUUAUGCCAGUUAAAGAGCGGAUGAUGUCAGCUGAAGCAGACAGACUGGGCCAGGUGUCUAUUUCAAAUGCCACUAGACGAAGGCUGGCUGGAUCAGGAAUGUAACCCCAAUAUGCACAUAUGUUGCAUCAGAAGAGGAUAAAAUAAUUGCUUGAAAAAUUAGGAGAAAUAAAUGUGUAGGAGGUUAAGGUUUCCAGGUUAUGGUGAAAGAAUGUGCAACCCCAUAAAAUAAGAAGCAUAUCAGCUGUGGAUAUGAACAUUGUUACAUGAUUUAAUCUAAAUGUUAAGCUGUCAAAAUAACUUCUGAUGUAGAGGAAAACUUUCCACCUGAAACAUAUCUAGAAGAUGAUGGUAUAAACUUUGAAGUGAAGGCCCAGUAUGAUGAGUUAAAAGUGAACAUCUUCAACAUUACGGAUGCCUAGUGGAUGUUGGUUUCAGGUGCUGCUUGCCCUUUGAUCAUAUGGAUGGGGUUGAUAGGCUAACAAUGCUUGUUUUUCACGUGUCUGUUGUGUUUGCCUUUACAUCUGAAAAUUACUUUGUGGUUAUCUUGUAAUUUGAUUAA